AUUACCCUCAUUUCAUAGACGACAAAACAGAUGCAGAGAAGUUAAUUAAAUGUAUACAUAAAAGGGAAAAAAAAGAGCCAUGAGGAAGUAGACAGACUUUUAUGUCUAAUAAAAUAGAUUUUCAGAAAUAAGGACUUUUGAGGAGGUCUUAUGGUGGCUCGCACUAGCAGGUUAAAAACCUUACUAGCAUCCAUGAGGAUGCAGGUUCGAUCCCUGGACUCAUUCAGUGGGUUAAGAAUCCAGCGUGGCUGUGGCUGUGGUGUGGCAGCUGCAGCUCUGAUUCGACCCCUAGCCUGGGAAUUUCCACAUGCCACAGGUGUGGCCCUAAAAAGAGAAAAAAUACAAGGCUUUUUUGCAGUGACAUCAUUAAUAUGUUUGAGUACAUACGGUUAGUCCUCUGGCCCUGGGUUUCCUCAUCUGUACAAAGAGGGUGGGCGUUCCUUCCCCUUGUAAUGUUCUAAGGAUGCUAAGAGGAUGUUCUAAGUAUGCUAAGAGGAUGUUCUAAGUAUGCUAAGAGCCUUGCAGGUCGGGCUAUUUGCGGAGCUCUUGGCAUCUCCAGAUCAUGAUUUCCAAGAGCUGAGAUGUUCAUCCAGAAUUCUGAACGCAAUCCGAAGAAAGGACCCAAACGCCCCUUUGCUCUCAGCAGUGACCUUCACGCCUCCACUUCCCAUGUCAUCAAGAGAGUCCUGAGGGGGCUGCUGGGAUCCGGCUGGAAGCGUCCAGCAGGAAGAAUUCUUUAUUAACACACACAGGAAAGCCGAGCUCUCCUUGUCGCUGGUCCUCAGCUGCAACAGAAAAGGAACCGAGAACCAGGCUGCUUGGAAACUCACCCAUCCGCAGGCGUUGUUAAGGGAACCGCUGCUUUCAUUUACACUCACGGGCUCCUCCUUUUCCUCCUCAUCUACGCCCCCACCCACCCCUUAAGGAAAAACAAAACAAAACUUAUUUCCAAGACCAACGCUAAGCAAUUCACAGGCAGCGUCAUUUCAUCAACGCGCUCCCGUUGCACUCCGGACAUUCGGCCUGGACCGUGGCCAGGGCAGUGGUGAUGGACUACCAUCUUAAGCAUCCACUCUGCGCCCACCACUCUAUCGCCACUUGACGGGGAUACUGUGUUUGUUCUCCAUGCCAAGUCCACAGGGCCGCUGUAUCCCCUCCCAUCAUAGAAGAAAGGGCGUUGAGAGCUUGGGUACCACAGGGCCAAGGUGAGUAAGGCAGCUCUUAAGCUACCUGUUCGCAUUCCUUGGUCCACUAGGAAGCAAAGGUCCAUGUCAAAGGCACCCGCAAUCCUGCCCUCCGCCUGCCAACCUAGAGGAUGACUGGGAAAAUACGAGAUAAAGAAACCACCCUCAGAAUGGCUUUCCAUCACGUGAGAUCCCCAGAGUCCGGAUCCGAGAGCAGCCAGACCAGGAGAUUGCCUGCAAAGGUCUUCAGCCAGCCUACCUGCAGAGCACCAAGGGGCUCUCGUAUAUUUGACUGCAUUCCCUCCUCCCAGGACCCUUUGAGUUAGAGUUCUCUGUGUGGCUGAGAAAGAAAAAGAGCUACAAAGAAUGGGUAAAUUGCUCAAGGUCUUGGUUAAUCUCUAACAAACCUAGGAUUCAAGCCUCACCUUGCUUCUGGAUGGAGGCAAGCUACUGAAAUGCAUGCUCAGG